AGGUCGCGCAGGCUGAUGACGUCAGAGAGCGACAGUGGGCGGCGCCUCGGGCCGGCGGUGUCCGACCUUAUAAAUACCAGAAGCCAGCGGCGUGGAGGCCCUUUCUCCUUUUGCCUGGCCUAGAUUCCAUGGAAAUACCCUGCAGAAGUCCAGCUGAAGACCUAGAGCCCAUAAUAAUGACUCAUGCAAGUCUGUUUCACGGAUCUGUGCUGCGAAGGCCCAAAGGUAAGGGUGGAAACUAGAAAGUCCGUGUCAGUGGGGCAAAGGAUCUGUGCUAGUAGGCCGAGAGUUCUGCUCUGGAGCCAAGAGGUGACACUCAAAAUAAGAACCAAGUUUCCCCCCAAAAGUACUACAGCCAUCCUCAGCAACAGCGAGGUCCUGAGUUCCUGAGAUCCUCCAACAAUGAGAACAGCUGAAUUCAUAUCAGGAAGCUAGUGUGAAAAACUUUUCCUACUAUUCUUUUCCUGCUGUCUUUUCUCUAUUUUUUACUUUUUAACCAUGGACAUCAGUUGCUUUAUAAUCCAGAAGCAUGAAGUAUAUUCAGAAUAUCAUUCAACCAACUCUACGAUCCAUUCACAGGACAGUUUUCAUUCUGCAAUCUGAACUCCAUACCAUCAAAGAACAACUUCUCUGCCCUCUUUCGAGCCCCUGAUAGCACUUCUUCUACUUUCUGUCACUGUGGGCACCUCACAGAAAUGAACUUUUCCCAUAUGCAUCCUUUGUGUGGUUGCUUAUUUCACUGGGCAUCAUGUCUUCAAGUUUCAUCGAUGUUGUCGCAGGUGUCAGAAUGACCUUCCUUCUCUAGGCUGAAUAUCCCACCGCAUGUGUAUACUACCUUUGUUUCUACACUCAUUCACACUGAUGGAUGCCUGGGCUGCUUCUAGUUCUUGGCUCCUGUGAGUAACAUUGCUGUGAGCAUAGUGUGCAAAUACCCGUUCGAGAUGCUAUCAGUUCUUUGGGUUAUAAUCAGAUGGAUUACAGUUUAAAAAUAUAAAAGCCAUAGAUAUAUUUGUUGAGAUUUUGAUAGAAACAUGGUACAUUUGUGACAUAAUAUGGGUAGACCUGGAAGCAUCACAGUGUUGAGACUCCCCUUGGGGACUCUAGGCUGGCUUGACACCUAUGUGUCUUUUACUCUGGGGAGUGGGAGAGUAGCUGGCUGCUCCUCUGACUUGUGCACUAUACUUGUCCUUACUGACAGCCCAACACUGAAGGGAUCUGGGAGCUGAUGACUGGAGGGGUCUUCUACUGCUUGGGCAUGGUGUUCUUCAAGAGCGACGGCAGGAUCCCCUUUGCCCAUGCCAUCUGGCAUCUGUUUGUGGCAUUUGGUGCUGGUACUCACUACUAUGCCAUCUGGAGGUACCUCUACCUUCCCAGCACCCUGCAGACCAAGGUGUCCAAAUGAAGUGGCCUGGAAUCCACAGGUCAUUUGGGCUUUUGGAGCAAAGCAUCAUGGGAAGUGAUCUGCAAACUCUAUCCCAGAGCACAGUACUGAGGCCUGUCUUCCCACCCUCAAAAGAUGGGUGUCAGGUUUCUUCCAGUGACAGACAGACCUUCCUUUGGCUGCCCACAGAGAAGGAAAGAUUCAGUAAUUUUCACAGAGGAGCAAUUAACCUCGUAAUGUGUUUCUACUUUAGAAAAUGUUUUCUAAUACAACCAACAUUAAUACUUUCAGAAAAGGGCAUAUUGCAGAAUGACAGGCCAAGAGGUGCUUUUUAAGGUCUUGAGGAAUCUAGUGAGGAGUCUGGCAGUUUUUGUGCAGCCUGGUAUCCAGGGUCUCCUUCCAGCUGCCAAAGUCUUGACGGGGGAAUUGUCCCCUGUUCAAGAAAAGUCAUCCGGCUUAUAGAUGAGGGAUGGGGAGUAUCCUUGACCAGGGCAGACAGAACCAAUCAAUUGCAGCCUGUGUGGGGUCAAAUUCUUUUCAACAGUGUGCCCUGGGCAGAUCCUGAUGGAAUUUUUUGGCCUGUGCUGACUGGCGAGCCCUGAAGUGGCAUCAUGGUGGCAGCAGUUAAAAGUCACCACUUUGGAGACCACAUUUAUCUUCUGACACUAACAAUUUCUGCUUCUUCUCCCCUUUUCCCCCUUUUUGGGGAGCUUCUGCAGUGGGGAGCGUGGUGGCAGGAGAGGGAUGCAGAGGCACACACCCGGAUGCUGUACUCCACCAUUGCUGCUUCUCAGCACAGAAAAGGAGCCAGCAGUCGGCCUUUCUGACUCUGUGGGCCCGGCCAUUUCUUCUCAUCCUGGAAACUUCACUCGUUCUGCCACAGUGGAGGAAGCAGAUCCUGGCAACUUGAACACUUGCUUCCUGUUUAGGGCUCGUGACAUCAACACUUGGAUUCUUGCUGGGUGCCAACAGCACACUGCCACCUGGACAAGAACUGAACCGAAAUCUCAGCAUUUCUGGAGAAAGAAUCUGUCUCAGAGCUCAAGGUUCUGAUUCUGCAAAUCCCAUGUGGAUGGGGUGGAUGAGGACAGGCCAAGAUAGGGUGGCAUUCCAGGGCAGCCCAGGGCACUGGCACCUGGGACCCUGUGUGCCCAAGCCAGUAUUAAACCACCUUGACCUCUCAGAGGUCUCUCUGAUAGACCUGGGGGACAAAUCCUCAGGUUCCCCUGUAUGGGAGCCUUGGCAGAGUGACCUGGUCCUUCAACCUCGCCAGGGCCCAGGUGCCCCACAGCAUGCCCCUGCUAGGCCGCCCGCCUGCACACUACCUGGACAAGAGCUGAACCGAAAUCUCAGCAUUUCUGGAGAAAGAAUCUGUCUCAGAGCUCAAGGUUCUGAUUCUGCAAAUCCCAUGUGGAUGGGGUGGAUGAGGACAGGCCAAGAUAGGGUGGCAUUCCAGGGCAGGCCAGGGCACUGGCACCUGGGAUCCCGUGUGCCCAAGGCAUUAUUAAACCACCUUGAUACCUUCCUCA